rnacentral:rRNA from 1 species
AUGCGCAUCCCUAAACUCUGGGGAGGCAUGGAUUUUCAUGGCAUUCGUAGCUUUAAUUUGGCUAUGCUGGCUAAGCGAUGUUGGAGGCUCAUUGAUAACUAUGAUUCUUUGUGUGCAAAAGUCCUAAGAGCCAAAUACUACCCCUCCGGUGAUUUGUUAAAUUGUGAACUAAAAAAGGGUUUGUCCUAUGUUUGGCAGAGUAUUUGGGCAGGGAUACAAACUUUCAAGAAAGGCUGCAUAUGGAGGGUAGGCAAUGGGAUGAAGAUAAACAUCUGGGAAGACUGCUGGAUACCAAAUAGUAUAUCUAGGAAGAUUAUAACAGUCCGGGGCAACUGUGUUCUGACGACGGUAAAUGAACUUAUAAAUCCUGUCACUGGAGAAUGGGAUGAAGUACUAAUACGGGACAACUUUUGGCAUAUUGAUGAGAGGAUUUUGCAAAUUCUGAUCUUUCAUCAUGAUACGGAAGAUUUUGUUUCUUGGCACCUUACAAAGUCGGGCAAUUUUUCUGUCCGGUCUGCCUACUACAGGCAAUGGGAGGACACCUACGUAUCAAAUAACUCAAAUCCCUCUAGAAUAAGUGGUUCCUUGGCUCACCCAGCGUGGAAGAAACUUUGGAGCUUAAAGGUACCAAGUAAGAUAAAAAUGUUCUUGUGGAGAUGUUUACAUGAUGCAAUUCCUUGCUGCUGCGUGUUAGCAAACAGGCAUAUAGCUCAAUCAGGACAAUGUCCACUCUGCUUGAAAGAAGCGGAAGACGUUGCACAUAUGGCGUUCAAGUGUAUCCAGGCCCAGGAGAUUUGGAGGAGCCUAGGCGUAUGA